rnacentral:misc_RNA from 1 species
CACCCUUGGCCUCCGUACGUCAACUCAAUAAAAGCAACAACCAAAAACUAAAAUAAUCAGAAAUCAAUAGUGAUAGAUCACUUAUCUUCUAAUCAAUUAUAACCAUCCAAACUCUUCCCCCCUUCAAAUCCCGUUUGGUUGCUGAGAAAGCAACGGAAAACCGAUUCCUCGCCUUAGAAUCACGAACUCAGCCGAAAUCCAAGACCUCAG